rnacentral:rRNA from 1 species
AGAGUUUGAUCAUGGCUCAGAUUGAACGCUGGCGGCAUGCCUAACACAUGCAAGUCGGGCGGCAGCAUGAUGUGUAGAAAUACAUAUUGAUGGCGAGCGGCGGACGGGUGAGUAGAGCGUAGAAGUCUACCUUAUAGAGGAGGAUAACUUGGGGAAACCUGAGCUAAUACUGCGUAAGUUCUACGGAAGAAAGGCCGGGA